ACCCUCUGGUUCCCUUUCCCAUUGGAUCUGAACCUGGUCUUGGUGGUCGCACGAGGAGGGAAAGGAAUGCUGAAGCCAGCCUCUGGUGGUGUAGCCUGACUGCACCCUGAGGCUGGUUUCAGACACAC
ensembl:snoRNA